rnacentral:tRNA from 1 species
GGGCUGGGGCUAAGAGGUAGAGUACUUGCCUAGCAUGCAUGAGGCACUGGGUUCAAUCCUCAGCACCACA